NCCGUUGUAGCUCAGUUGGUAGAGCGUGCGCUUUACAAAAGCGUAGGCAGCGUUCAUGCAUGAGUUCGAAUCCCACCGAGGCUA
rnacentral:tRNA from 1 species